GACAGAGGGGGCAAGCGUUGCUCGGAAUCACUGGGCGUAAAGGGCGCGUAGGCGGGAUGGCAAGUCGGUCGUGAAAUCCUUCGGCUCAACCGAAGAACGUCGGCCGAUACUGCCGUUCUUGAGGGAUGCAGAGGAGAUUGGAAUUCCCGGUGUAGCGGUGAAAUGUGUAGAGAUCGGGAGGAACACCGGUGGCGAAGGCGGGUCUCUGGGAAUGUCCUGACGCUGAGGAGCGAAAGUGUGGGGAGCGAACAGG
rnacentral:rRNA from 1 species